CAGGUAGAUCUACACCUUGAGAGAUGGCAUUUUGCGGUACAUUGUUUAGGUAUUUGGAUUAUCUAUUAUGUUUCAGAAUUUCUCGAACUAUGAGUGUAGUAUAUUGGGAGCCAAGGCCGAGUAGCAAGCCAUGUGUCACCGCAAGGACAGGAGCGAGAUUUAAUUAAUUGUAUUUGCAAGAUUUGGUCAUUAGUGGUCACUUGGGAUGGGUGCGAUCUGUAUCAUUUGAUCCAGGGAACAAAUGGUUUUGUCCUGGUUUUGCUGAUAGGACAAUAACGGCAAG